CAAAAACCAAGCUGCCUCCGGGCUCUGAAGGGGUUGGGGGCUUCAGGCUUCACACUAACUGUUUUCCAGGCACCAGAGGUUCCCAGCUGGGCCUUCCCCAGCACCCUUUUCCUGCAUGAAACCGUUCCUUUCACAGAGAUGAACCUCUUCUGUUUCGUCCUAACUUUCUACUCUGUCAUGCUCUUUGCUCGUCAACAUUUCCAGGCAUUCCUGAAGCUUCACAAAACACAGAGGGUAGAAGAGAGGGCUCUUGGAUGGGGUGGGCGAUUGUCCCAACCGCUCGCUGAUUCCUGUCAUCUGCAAGCUCAGGCAUCGCUGUUUGUGGCCAAAAGCCAGCUGGGGGGUCACCAGGCCCAUGGAGCCGCUGGUGAGCCAGUUGGAGCCCAUCUGAAUCUCCGUUCCCAGGGCCGCUUUGAAACGCAGCUGCCGCCAGAAAUGCCUGGUGAUCGUGGCCUCCCAGAGCCUCGGGGGUGGUUUCUCCCCACAGAGCUUCUGACAAGCAUCUGCACCGGGAAGUCUAGCCCCCAGCCUCCUGGCGGGUGGUCUCAGAUCUUCCAACCUGCCAGGCGUGGGGUGCCCGGGGCAGUGGGGGUGAGGAGAGGAGGGGAUGCUGGUGGCGUCCACCUGUAUCCUGGAGGCAAAACUGUCUUCUGUUUUCUCUACCAGCCGAGGUGACAUCUGAGACUGUCAGCCUCUCACUCAUCCUGGGAUAAGUAAAACAAUAAUAAUAAUAAUGGCUCAGCCUCACCUGGCACCUACUAUGUCCCCAAUACUGUGCCCAGCGUUUUAUGGAUGUUAACCCUGGCAACAACCCUGUGAGGUUACGUGUAAAACUGCCCCCAUUUUACAGAUGAGAAAACUAAGGCACGAUGAGUUUAAGUGAUCUGUCCAGGGUCAUGCCAUCCAUUGGCUACCAGGCUUCCCUGGUAGCUCAGAUGGUAAAGGAUCUGCCUAUAAUGCAGGAGACCCAGAUUCAAAUCCCUGGGUCGGGACGAUCCCCUGGAGAAGAGAAUGACAACUCACUCCAGUAGUCUUGCCUGGAGAAUUCCAUGGACAGGGGAGCCUGGCGGGCUACAGUUCAUGGGGUCGCCAACAGUCAGACACAGCUAAAUGACUAACACUUUCCCUUUCAUGCCAUUCAGGAAGUGGCUCACGGACGUGCUCACCACCCCCAGUGCCCCCCGCUGCAAUCCAGAGCAGCACACAGCCCCCGGGCUCUGCUCCGAGCAGGGGACAAAGGGCUUCAGCAGCCCAGGAUCAUCGAAGCUCUCCUGCUGGGACGCGGUCCCCACGCUGCCUCUCCCUGCAGCCUGGCCGGGUGCAACCUGGCCGGGCAGACGCUGCGGCCGGAUCCCUGGUGCUCUCGCUCUCCUGCUCAAGCCAGCCUGGGUCUCUUGUCUCAGGGGGUUCCACAGGAGGCCUGCUUCCUCGCUGUCAUCACCUCCCUCCCCAGGCUGACUCAUCCUUCUGCUCUGCUCCUCAGCCUCCUGCUCUGCUUCCUCCACCUCUCCUCCGUGGCCCUUCACCCCCCACCCAGGGCGCCUACUCCUCUUCAUCCCCUGGGCUCCACCCACAAUCCCCCCACCCUCUGCCAUCCUGGCCCCUGGAAUAACAGACCUCCUGGCCCAGAAUGUCCUGGGCCCUGGGUGUUCAGGGUCAAAGAUGAGAUGGUUGA
ensembl:lncRNA